rnacentral:rRNA from 1 species
UACGUAGGGUGCGAGCGUUAAUCGGAAUCACUGGGCGUAAAGGGCGCGUAGGCGGCCUAGCAAGUCUGGUGUGAAAGCCCAGGGCUCAACCCUGGAAGGGCACUGGAAACUGUUAGGCUUGAGUUCCGGAGAGGAGGGGGGAAUUCCCGGUGUAGCGGUGAAAUGCGUAGAUAUCGGGAGGAAUACCGGUGGCGAAGGCGCCCCUCUGGACGGAAACUGACGCUGAGGCGCGAAAGCGUGGGGAGCAAACAGG